GCGGAGACCCAUCCAUCUAUCACACGUGUAGACAAAGGGGGGACUCCACAACACAGAGCCUGAUGUGCCCCUCUCAAACUUUUUCCACGGACGCACGGGAACGCGCGCACAGCGAACCAGCUCAGAAGUUGCGUUCUUGUUUUUGAGAAGUUGGCGCUGCAGUGAGGAAAUUCUCCACAAUGCAAUCAGGUGUAAAGUCUGCAAGAAACAAGCCUAUUAUCGAGCAAGGCGUCUCCUGUGGAAGGUCAAGAAAAUGGCAAAAACAAUAUGCUGAAACAACACGGAGAUGGCACAAGAUCACCUAUCAGACGACGCUUUAAGACAGAGAGGAGGAUUAAGAGACUGUGCAGGUUCUUUUUGGGGAGAAGGUACAGACUUAUCUCAUGUUGGAUUUAAACUUUUGCAACAGCGGUGCCAGUUGGAUUGCGUUUUAGGGCACACGUGAAAGUCCAAAACUCAUGGAAACACUUUAAGGAUUAUCCGAAUUCAUGGUAAAUCUCUCCGCAAGACACAUCUUGAGCCAGAGUCUCUGGGAUAGCUGAAUAUUGCACUUCUGAUCCUCCUCGCCCCUCGGCACGGGGAGCGUGGGAGUACUGAGGUCUGGGAGAUCACGACCCUAAUUCUUUCCAAGACAGACGGUUUAAUUAACACUGUAGGAAUCCUCUCCAACUCCAGACCUCUGCAAAAGGAAUUUACUCAGGAAUUACACCACACAGGUCUUGGACAUUUAGUGGACCAGAAAGCUGACAGAUGAUGCCCAUGAAUGAUGGAUGAUGUCUUCUUGGUGCCAGUUGAAUGCAUUAUAAAGCAAUGAUACGGCCCCUGUCAUUGUGGCCCACGUUGGCAGAAGACCACCUCACAGGGAUUUUCCUCUUCACCAGGUGUGGCAGACUGAGAUUCAGUGGCAACAUCUACACAGAGAUGCCUGUUCCGGAGGAGUGAAGAUCUAAAAAACAAGCCUGCAUAAAAAGGCAGAGGGAAGAUGCCGAUAGAGAGGAGAAUGUCUUGAUAGGGAAAGAAAAACAGAAGAAAAGAUGAAAGGACAUUUUUUUGUGUGUUUGUAUGUUUGAAGCUUUAGCAUCAUCCUGUGGUAUCAAUGUUAAAUUGUACAGUCUCAAAUAGUUUUGCAUGUUUUCUAUAGUAAAGCACAGCUUUGCACUUGUAAAACUGAGACGAGCAUUUAAUUUUAUAUAUAUAUAUAUAUAUAUAUAUAUAUAUAUAUAUAUUCUUUUUGUGUAUAAUUUAACCCAUGAAACUCAAUUUAAAGGCUCUGUUUAUACAAGACAAGCCUUUUACUCAAGAUUCCAUAAAUUAAAGAAGCUAAGGUCAGAGUUUAACAUCAUAAGCUUGGAUUGCAUCUACUAUAAUGGAGGUUGUCUAACGUUGGUCACUGGGGAACAAAAACAGCAUUAAAGACCUGCACUCAUGCAAUAUGCAUAGCUCAGAGGAGAAAUAUGCCUAAACUCAGGCUCUUGUAACAAUAAAAAUGUGAGGAGUUUAACUUUUAUCAUUGCAGCAUGGAUUAUUAAUGAACUUUGUAUUGCUCUGUGAAAAAUCUAUGUAAUAUAAAGGUGUACAAAGAGAUUUCUUUCCUGCUCCGAGGACUUGUGAAAGCAUAGCUCAUGAUAGCAACUGCAAAUGUCAUAUGAGGACAAAACAGGACAAUUUUGAAUGCUAAACGAAGAGAGGAUAAGCAUUGCUCAAAGUUCUUGACAUGGAGAUUCCUUAAAUAGAUGGACAAUUAUUCAAGUUUGUAUAUCAGUUUUGAUUUCUGGCCAUCACAAAUCAAUGUAAUAAACAAAACAAAGCAAAAGAUUAUUUUAUAACGGGAAUCUAAUGUAAAACUUGGAAUAUCAUAGUUUACUUCUUGAAUGCAUACCAAAAGUCUAUGUGCAUGAAUGAAAAGACACAUGCACAUUUUUCUUUCACCGUGUGAAGUCAAAUUAGAUCCAACUUCGAUUUUCUUAGGUCAGAAUUACAAAACAAAAUGUGCAUUUUUAUUCAGUGUACAUAAACUUCUGUUUUCAACUGUAUAGUGUCAUACAUUUUACAAAAGCAAAGAAUGUUCUGUUCUCACAUACGGAAAUACCGGGGCAAUGUUUUUAAGUGUAUAAUCUAACAAAUAUGGACAUGGUACCUAUACAUGCAUUAGUGCUCUUGGGUCCUUCAACACUAAAAUUUUGCAAUAUGCAGGCUGUGCAAUAUUAACCAAAAAGUAUUUACUUGUAAAUACAUUUGUACCAAGCUUUAAGAAAAUAUUUGUUUAUUUUCUUUUUAAAAAAAUUGUAAAUAAUAAUUACACCUGGUUAAGCGCUUUAAAUAGCCACCGUACGUAAUGGCAGAAAGCCCUAAGAAAAAUGUCAUCUUCACACAGGGAAACAUUUUUAGCCAGGUAGGGUAUCAAAAACAUCAAGCUGGGGUCGGCCCUGUCACAGAAAUGUAGCAAGCAGUUUUAGGCCCCUGCUAUCUGCCUCUCUCCAUCUUUGUCUGUGGUUACUAACCCUGGCUACAGUAGCCAGACAGGGCCCCUUCUGUAUGUUCCAUACACAGUUUAUCACACUUCCUCUCACUCUGCUCGUGAUAAACAGGUCUGCCAGAGAGAAAAAUCAAAGAGUUAGGGACAGAAACUAUGUAGUGCAAAUUGUAUAUAUUGUAAGUAGGAUUUAUACUGUACAUUACAAGGUUUAAAGAGAAAAAAAAAUAUUAUGGAUGUCAAGUACUUACUGCGACAUAAUUCAAGUUUUCAUAAGAAAAUUAAAAUUUUACGUGUUGACUUAACUCGCUUGUGAAUUGAACAGGCAAGUCAUUUUCAGCUUCCGCUUUAUUAGCAAUGGUUGAUUUGUUCGGACAUUACACCGAAUACGUUUUGUGUUUUUGCAUUCUGAUAUGGUGCAAACAAAAUUAGGCAGAAAAAAUAAAUGUACUUUUCAUGGAACUACAAAAAUAUAUGUUUGGGCACACAAUAGACAAAUCGCCAGUUCAUUACCUAAGUGACCGACUCACUUAUAAUGAGUCGGCCGUAAACAAAGUUAAGUUGCAGAUCUUUGUGAACAUGUACAUAACGAUUAUUUAUUUUCAAUUGAAUUUUUUGGAGUGACAAGAUAAUACAAUAUAUUGUCUCAGGAAUAUGAUCACAGUAAUAUGAUAUUUUGACAAUAUUUCUGGGAAAUCUAACCAUCCAAAUUUUAGUUUUUAUUUAGUUUUUUUGCAAGGAAGUGGAUACUUUCAUGGAUCACAGGUUGUUUUUUUGAAGAAUGGGCAAAAAAAGUACAAUAAUUAAAUUUGGGAUUGAUCAAGGUAUCUUAGACUUUGUACUAAAUGUGAUUUAAUGCAGAUUUCACUCAUGAACAGUUAUCUAUUUAGUGCUGUUAGGAUGCCCCUAAGCAGAAGCUAAUUUCAGAAACAUCUAUAGAAUGGCUACAAAUUGAUGCAUACUUAUUACAAAAUAAUCUGCACCACAGAACCAUUACAUACUUGGAAAAACUAUGACAUCCUAAACAACAACAUUACAAAUAGGCAAAUGUUUGAAGUGACCAGCACCUGAUAUUUUAUUACUGCAUGUAUCUGUUGUCAGUGCAAAAUAUUAAAAAAAAAGAUUUAUUUUUCA